AUAUUAAAUAUGAAAUAAAAAAAACACAUACUUUUCAUUUUAGUCUAACAUUCUUCAGUUGAAGUUUUCUUCGCUUAAUUAAUUUGAAAAGAAUCUUCUCUCCUUUCCAAAUGUUUUUCAAUCAUAUAGCGGGCCUAUAAUCAGGACUUUUAAUUUUUGUUCAUGAAACAUAUGCAUAUAUUCCUGACUACAGAUUAAUUAGUAAUUAAAAACCUCAAACAUUUCAAAAUUGAAGGAGUACCAUUUUUGUUUUAUAAUAAUUGGCUGCAUAAAAUUCAAAUUGUCUAAUUACUAAUUGGCUUUUCGGUCUAAUCCAGCAUGUCAAGCAAAGUCUUACAAAUGAAAAUUCUAGACGAAAAAUAAAUUAAAAUAUAUGGAAUCAGAGAAAGGCUCAGCAUGUAUUUUCAUGCUCAAUAUGCCCUGCUUAAGCCCUUAAAAAUGUAUAAAUUUUGUUCAAGAAGGGCAAAGGGACUUGCAGCUAGGCCCAUGGUACAGUUUGAAAGUGCAUGGGCCAACAAUCACUGUAAAAAGAAUUUCGCCUACCCUGCAAAACAUGUGCAAUAGGCACUCCGGAUCUUGCCAGUUUUUUUCUCAAUGGCAACCCACGUUUUGUGGGGAGUGUUCCUCACUCUCUGUGAUGGCACACAGUCGGCCUUCAAGAUGCAAAUAUUGUCCUCUGGUGACAGUUCAUGGAAAAAAAGUUCUUUUAGCCAGUCACUCUGAAAGUUACUGGAGGCUUUCCCCUCCUUGUAAUCCGACAGAAGUCUGUCCCUGAGAGUUUUUGGUCGUUUACUGGGCUGACAGACUGCCGGGGCAUUUGUGAGUAGCCAUUCGGCGAUCUCGAAGUAGGUCACGGGCGGCCAUUGCCGAAUGCCGUCUUUUUCUCCCACCCAGCCUUUCUUGAGUUCCGUAAGGGGGUCAGGAAUCUUUCUGCCGUCAAAAUAUAGAAGCUCCGAAUAGUUCUGGUUCAAAAUUAUUUCUUUGAUGAGUUCAUCGUCCUUCAGUGGCACGUUGAGUUGCAAGGCGGCGAAAACUAGCACUUGCAGUUCCUUCUUUCUUCCGGAAGUUUUCAGCCCUCUUAAUCUCAAAUAACUCCUUAAAGCAUUACAAUUCCCACAGUUCAAUAGCAUCUACAAUGUAGUGUCAAAGUGGAAGAACUGGACGAUGACAUUCACAUGUUUGAAGAGCACAAUACAGAAAAUCAUUCAAAAUAUCGCGACUUUUACAACGAGAAUAUGACAAAUUUGCAAAGACUAUACCACGAGAGCAACGUGUAAGCACACGCGUCGUCAAUGGCAGCCACUAUUAUUUAUCUCCUGUGACCUAUGACACGCUCCCAUAAUGCUUUGCGCGUGCGAGAUUCCGAAGUGGCUUAUUGCGGAGACGAUUCGCCUUUCCUUUUGCCUUUAUCUUUAAUAGACCACUGGUCUUAGUCACCUCAGGGACUAGCCAAAGCAAGCCCUGAGUAACUUUGCUUUUUACAGUUAUUCAUACCAAGAAAAUACUCGAACAUCUUUUCUAGCACUGCCAUGACACUAAUCUUUCAAUUAUUAUUCAACUGACUUUAACUUAAUAUGACCAUCAAACCUGUUUUCUUCCCCUUCUUAACAAUAUUAAGAAUCAAAGCAAAUUUGUUGUUAUAGUUAUCAGACAUAAUACAAGAUUUUAAAAUGUAGUUCUUUUUAAUAUUCACCCAUAAUUUCCACUCCUUCCCUUUGCCUUUUUAACGGUUCCCACCCACAGCCAGCAGCCCGUGGACGGCUUCAAGUGGGAUUUUUUAUUCAAUUUGGCAGCGAACUUGCCUCACCAGAUUUCUAGGUCUUCCUCCGGCGUUUUAUUCAAUUCAGAUUAUGGAAUUGAAAACCACUGGCCCGAGAAUCUUAAAGACAAGCACACAUAUUUUUGUUAACCUUUUUAAAACUUGUCAUACACAAUUUCUGUCACACUUAUUGCAGAGACGAUUUGUCUUUCCUUUUGGCCUCAUCUUAGACCACUCCUUGGCUGACAGACUGAUCGAAAACUUCCAUUUGCUUUUAAGAGCUGCGGCAUUAUGUGUAGGGGAGUUUUCACUUUCAUUAUGGUCAGUGCCAUUAGAUCUAUUUCUCUGGAAUUCACAGUCUAUGUUAUUUUCAUCCGAUGAAAACAUCAAGUCUUUGUCGACCACCUUGUCAUCAUCUGAUGCACACAUUCCUUCACUGGUUUUGUCGUUUACCGGCGCUGAACUGUCUUCCCACGAAGGGAUGGGUUUAAAGAAUGUCUUUGUAUCGAACCCUUCUGAUUAAAUUUUUUUCUUACAUUAAGUUGGACAAUAUCGGGUGGAAAAAAUUCUGGUCUCUUUUCUUUUUUUAACAAUUCUGGCAGUUCCACUGUCAAUAAUUGUCCCUGAUGUGCGUGAUGACAAAUUUCCUCGAUGUUGACGCAUUAUUAUUCCACCCCUGCUGAAGACUCGCUCGACAGGGGCACUGGUCGCUGGGACUGGGAGCACUUUUUGUGUCAGGGCGCUAAGGCCGGGGUACUUUGUAGUGUUGUUGUGCCAAAAUGUGAUGACGUCAUGUUGCAUAUCACUUUCUUCUUUUCUUAGAUAUCUUUCUAAUUUUGCACGAACAGUGACACUACUGGACUUAUCCCCACUUUUUGAUCGUUUGCGGAAGUUGCUAUACAUUGCCAGCAGCCGUGGCAUCUUCAUUGGUGGUGAGGUCCUCUUCACUUGAGGUCCUAAUCUAAAGUUAGAUCAAAGUGAAUAUUACACGCAGGACUUUACCAAACACGCAAUAUGUGACUAGUAUGGGGUACAGGUACUGGUUGCCCUGCAAACCAUGCAUUCAAUACACGUCUUUUGCUGACGGUAACCAGUGGCAAUAAUAAUUAUGUGGCUACGGCUAAUCACCAUUAUACAUGUAGCCCUGCAUACAAACACAAUCCAAAGUAUUGCUUCCUGCAAGUCCACCAAAUGGGGUUAUAUGAAAAUGUUUUAUUUAGCAAACUACUAAAUUCUUGAUACUCUAAUGACCAACAAUGAAUAAAGGAGCGCUCAAUAAAAAAUGAAUAAACAUUAAGAGAUGCACCAGGAUCCUGGAUUUGGGUCUACAGUCUUGCUCUACUGGCAAGAGACGUCCCAAGAGUUCCUCCAAAAACGGAUAACAGUUUCCCGGGUCAGUUCCAGACCAAGAGCUGUACUCCAGGUGCAACUAGCUAGGUUCACGAUGUGAAACUUUCGCUUGUUGUUCCGCCUCCUCCCGUCUCACCAUUUGUAAGAGCUUCAAGUAGGCAGGUGGAUCAUUCUUCAUAUCUUUGAGAUGCAGAUUAACAAACAGGAUUUCAUCAUACAAAAUUCCUCUCACAAACUGGGCCAGAAGCAGCGAAUUAACCUCCUCCCUCUUGGUGGAGCCCUUCCCCACCAACUUCCGCACUACUGCCUGGAGCCGGGUGAGGAACUCCGAGGGGGUUUCACCACACCCCCGAUGCAUAUAAUGAAACUGCACCCAAGCUCUUCGGGUGAGUCAGUGCUGCCAAAAAACUAGCUCUAGAGCUGCUAAGUAGUCUUCGGCUGUAGCCUCCGGCUGGUCCCGACGUAACUCUGUAAUUAUGGUAGCGGCAGGUGGACGGAGUGCUUCCCUCAAUCUUCGCCGCCUUUCCGCAUCCUCUGGUUCUUCUUCCAAUUGAUCCUGGACAAGCUCUAUUCAAGUGUCGAAGCUGUCCUCAUCCUUCAAGGGCACUUAGGCGCCUGAGAGUGGUCGCAGUUUUCGACUGCUGGAGAUACUGCAAGCUGUCAACGCCUUGGCCAGUGGCACUUCUGCUUGUUUCUCUCUUGCCUCUGGGGAAACAUCUGUGGAAAGAUCCCUGACCAAAACUCUACUUUUGAAUACAGUAGGGGCCAACAUCUGAAUUCAAAACUGAAAAUCAGAAUCAUCAACAUACAAGGUCAAGACCUCCGAUGGGGGGAGUACAACUUCCUUCACUUCCCUAUCAAACUCACACGGAAGGAGUGUCUUAUCACGCUCCUGUCUUGACACACCAACGAGAUGUCUGACCGUCUUUGCCAGGCUAAGAGUUACUGCCUCCGUGGACGCAUCAAGCACAUCAUUACCCACAAGAAGGAGAGCAUUACCUACUCGGAUGUCAUCCUUUUUACACCAGUCGCGCCCCAAGCGCAGCAGCUCUUUACCAUCAGCCAUGUUUCCUGCCUGCAAUCAGAUACACCACACUUAUAAUUGACAACAAAUCAAAACUCAAAUGACAAUACACCUGCAAUAAGAAGACUGAAAAAUAACGUUAAGUUUAGUGAUGGUGUGUUUUAGAGUUUUGUUUCUCUUCCUCAGUCAAAGGCAGGUUCUCGUUUACUUGGUAACUUUCUUUACCCAUCACUGAAAGCAGGGUAGCAACUCGAAUGGUGUCUGGUUUUCCUGUCAGUCCAAUUGCUAUUUCAUAGUUCUGCCAACUAUUUCUGAAAUACUGCCAGUUGCUGACUAUAUCGCCUUUCACAUCCAUCUUUGAUGGAGCCGGAAUCAGUGACUGUGCCAUAAUGACAACAAAGAAUCACGAUUGUCCUAUGCGUUUGUAAAUAUGGCCGUACGUGGCAAGUACAGGCCACCGUAGAUGACUGUCCAUGCGUGGUGAAAACUACCGGUGAAUACGGUCAACUUUUAGCGUUCCCAGCGACUGCCUACAUGAGUCACAGGGCAAAACAGUUGAUCCUAGCGAUGCUAUAGUCAAAGUUAGAAACAGUUUCUUACGUUUGGUGAGCUUUUUUCAUGGGUGGGCAGGGUUUUCAGGCCGACUUCUGACACCAUGUUUAUAUGCUCUAGAACACAUGGAACACAGGGAUGGCAGGGCUAAAACUAUGAUGCACUAUAAUUGCCAUGUGAUUUGACUAAUGCCAUAACUAUAUUUGUUUUGUCUGUUUAGAUUCUUGGUUUUUCAACUCAAAUCAUCCUCAAGGGCCCAAGAUUUACCAGAUGACAUGGUGGAGGAACUAAGACAGCAUUGUAUGUUCAGACGGCCGUACAGAUAUCAUUAAGGAGCUUUGGACAGAAGAGGACUAGUCUUUUAAGGGGUCAGCCAACUCCUCAGCGUACAUGUACGUCAACUGGUGGACAGGCAGUGGAAACUGGGCAUUGCCUGUCGGACGUCUGCUGGAGCCUCAAUUUCACCUUCGUGAAGAUGUCACUUAAGGUCGUCGAUCCUACAGAUGGUGAUCACUGACGAUGCUGGCUGAGUAUAAGAAUUUCUCAAAGCAAAUACCGGAGAUGGCAGCUACGCUGGAGAUGAUAUAACAAGCAACUUCUUGCCUGCUAACUUCCUAUUCUAACUUUAUCAUCAAUGUAUAAAUUCUUUUUUUCAGACAGUGGAUAUUUUGGGACUUUUUACCACAUUUGUCCAACUGAAAUAAAUUUGCUCACUUAAAAUGUUUAGACUUCAACAAAACGAAGGUAAUUCAGAUUUGUAACUCCC
rnacentral:lncRNA from 1 species